CCAGCGAGCGGGAAAGGGGGCUGCGGGUGUGAGCGAUGGUGCAGGGGGUUGCAGGGGAGCACGUUGUUGUCAGGACUGUAUUAAUGAGCGCGCCGCUCAGGUCCCGUGGACAGGGGGACGGUGUUCCUGGCUGCGCACGGCGACGGCGGCUCUGUCGAGGCCUGGCCUAGUUUCUGCCCUCACCGGGGAGCGCGAGGAUCCAAGGACUGACGCUGAUCACCUGACAGCGGCCCCACUGCUGCUAGAGAGUGUGUACGCACAUGUCUGUGUGUGAGAAAGAAAAAAGACAGGAAAGAGAGGACGCAAGUGCUGGAGUGGGAAAGCGGCUGCAGGAAUGGAUCUGUGUAAUUCUGUGCCUCUCGCUCUUCGCUCUUAACCUCUCCUUCCUCUUCCUCAACUUCUCCACAGUGCACAUCUACAGAAUCAUCUUUGGCAUUGUGACUGGUAUUGUGACAGCAGAUUUUGCCUCUGGGAUCGUACAUUGGGGAGCUGAUACAUGGGGUUCAGUGGACAUCCCAGUAAUUGGGAAGGCAUUUAUUCGCCCAUUCCGGGAGCACCACAUUGAUCCGACGGCUAUCACACGGCAUGACUUCAUAGAGACUAAUGGAGACAACUGCAUGAUCACCAUCCUGCCUCUGGCCCACAUGGCCUAUAAAUUCCUCUCCUACCCACCAGAUGCCCUUGCAGAGUCCUACCCCUGGGAAUGUUUUGUUUUUGCGUUGGCGGUCUUUGUAACCAUGACUAAUCAGAUCCACAAGUGGUCCCACUCCUACUUCGGCCUGCCACUCUGGGUCACACUACUGCAGGACUGCCACCUAGUGCUGCCACGGAAACACCACCGGAUCCAUCAUGUGUCGCCACAUGAGACGUACUACUGCAUCACCACAGGUUGGUUGAACUACCCGCUGGACAAAGUGGGUUUUUGGCGGACAAUGGAUUGGUUGAUCGAGAAAUUGACGGGUCAGAAGCCACGCAGUGAUGACCUGGCCUGGGCCAAGAAAUCCGAGUGACCAGGAUAGCAGGACUGAAUUCCCUCCCUCAUCCAUCUCAGAGACAUAAAUAAUGGGCCUUAACUCUGUAACCCAAAACCUCUCUCCUAUAAUGUUCCUGUGUCCCUCUGUCUCCCCUAAACCAUCUUCUCUACAGCACAGAACCACAGAUCACACUUACUGCUGGGGCCUUUUCCUGUCACUGAGGUCUGCUACACACUUCCUCCUCAGUUUUGUAGAUGUCCAUACGCAACGAAAUAGUAGA